UCGUAGGUGUGGCCAGCGGGGGUGGUAAGAAUGAUGGUGGAGGCGUUGGCCGUAAGUAUGGGGGGGAAGGGUCGCGGGGGGGGUUUGUGACGGCUGCUGUGAAAGAUCGGGGCUGAACCGCGUGCCUGCAGUGGAUACGGGCUAGCUAGAGUGCGGUAGGGGAGACGGGAAUUCCUGGUGUAGCGGUGAAAUGCGCAGAUAUCAGGAGGAACACCGGUGGCGAAGGCGGGUCUCUGGACCGAUACUGACGCUGAGGAGCGAAAGCGUGGGGAGCGAACAGGAUUAGAUACCCGUGUAGUC
rnacentral:rRNA from 1 species